rnacentral:rRNA from 1 species
CCUACGGGCGGCAGCAGUAGGGAAUAUUGUUCAAUGGGGGAAACCCUGAAGCAGCAACGCCGCGUGGAGGAUGAAGGUUUUCGGAUUGUAAACUCCUUUUGUUAGAGAAGAUAAUGACGGUAUCUAACGAAUAAGCACCGGCUAACUCCGUGCCAGCAGCCGCGGUAAUACGGAGGGUGCAAGCGUUACUCGGAAUCACUGGGCGUAAAGAGCGCGUAGGCGGGAUAGCAAGUCAGAUGUGAAAUCCUAUGGCUUAACCAUAGAACUGCAUUUGAAACUGUUAUUCUAGAGUAUGGGAGAGGUAGGUGGAAUUCUUGGUGUAGUGGUAAAAUGCGUAGAGAUCAAGAGGAAUACUCAUUGCGAAGGCGACCUGCUAGAACAUAACUGACGCUGAUGCGCGAAAGCGUGGGGAGCAAACAGGAUUAGAUACCCCGGUAGUC